rnacentral:rRNA from 1 species
CACGGGGGGAGCAAGCGUUGUUCGGAAUCACUGGGCGUAAAGGGCGUGUAGGCGGUCAGGUAAGUGGGAUGUGAAAUGCCCCGGCUCACCCGGGGACCGGCAUCCCAAACUGCUUGGCUUGAGUAUGGGAGAGGAUGAGGGAAUUCCUGGUGUAGCGGUGAAAUGCGUAGAUAUCAGGAGGAACACCGGUGGCGAAGGCGCUCAUCUGGCCCAAUACUGACGCUGGAGGCGACGGAAAGCUAGGGGAGCGAACGGG